rnacentral:rRNA from 1 species
AGAGUUUGAUCCUGGCUCAGGAUGAACGCUGGCGGUAUGCUUAACACAUGCAAGUCGAACGGGUUCUUAGGAACUAGUGGCGGACGGGUGAGUAACGCGUGAGAAUCUGGCUUCUGGUUUGGGACAACAGUUGGAAACGGCUGCUAAUACCGAAUGUGCUGAAAAGUGAAAGGCUUGCUGCCAGAAGAUGAGCUCGCGUCCGAUUAGCUAGUUGGUGUGGUAAAGGCGCACCAAGGCGACGAUCGGUAGCUGGUCUGAGAGGAUGAUCAGCCACACUGGAACUGAGACACGGUCCAGACUCCUACGGGAGGCAGCAGUGGGGAAUUUUCCGCAAUGGGCGAAAGCCUGACGGAGCAAUACCGCGUGAGGGAGGAAGGCUCUUGGGUUGUAAACCUCUUUUCUCAGGGAAGAAAAAUGACGGUACCUGAGGAAUAAGCAUCGGCUAACUCCGUGCCAGCCGCCGCGGUAAUUC